rnacentral:rRNA from 1 species
ACGCUGGCGGCGGCCUAAACAUGCAAGUCGAGCGGUAGAGAGAAGCUUGCUUCUCUUGAGAGCGGCGGACGGGUGAGUAAUGCCUAGGAAUCUGCCUGGUAGUGGGGGAUAACGUUCGGAAACGGACGCUAAUACCGCAUACGUCCUACGGGAGAAAGCAGGGGACCUUCGGGCCUUGCGCUAUCAGAUGAGCCUAGGUCGGAUUAGCUAGUUGGUGAGGUAAUGGCUCACCAAGGCGACGAUCCGUAACUGGUCUGAGAGGAUGAUCAGUCACACUGGAACUGAGACACGGUCCAGACUCCUACGGGAGGCAGCAGUGGGGAAUAUUGGACAAUGGGCGAAAGCCUGAUCCAGCCAUGCCGCGUGUGUGAAGAAGGUCUUCGGAUUGUAAAGCACUUUAAGUUGGGAGGAAGGGUUGUAGAUNAAUACUCUGCAAUUUUGACGUUACCGACAGAAUAAGCACCGGCUAACUCUGUGCCAGCAGCCGCGGUAAUACAGAGGGCGCAAGCGUUCAUCGGAAUUACUGGGGCGUAAAGCGCGCGUAGGUGUUUUGUUAAGUUGGAUGUGAAAUCCCUGGGCUCAACUUGGGAACUGCAUUCAAAACUGACUGACUAGAGUAUGGUAGAGGGUGCUGGCAUUUCCUGUGUAACGGUGAGAUGUGAAGAUAUAGGAAGGAACACCAGUGGGCCAAAGCGACCACCUGGACUAAUACUGACACUGAGGUGCGAAUGCGUGGGUAGC